UAUCUUCUUCAAAGACUCUCUUUUUUAGAACUUUCAAUUCCUGUCAGUAUUUAGAAGGACAGAUUUUGUUAAUACAAGAAGAAAAGGGCAUUUCUCCAGGUUGAUACACAUUCUCUUCUUUCAUAUUUAUGACUAAGACAGUGCUGUCCCGGAUCACCUCAUCCAGUCAGCUGUGAAGGGAAAGGAAUUAGAUUUUGCUUUUCUGCAGAACGGACUCUGAGCUUGGCAAGCACACAAAGUCAAUACUCCAUUCCAAUACAGACAUCUUCAAAGUUUUGUGGCUUUCAGGUUAUAUCUCACUACAUUAAGAAGUCAAACGUGGAAUACUGAAGAAUGUAUAGACCUCCAACAAACAGUCCAUGUGGCUAUAACAAUGACAAUUAUAAUCUGCAUUUUUCUAUUCAUAAAUAUUUUCACAUAUUAUAUCUCAUUUGUCCCCCAAUUUAUUUUGAUAUAGGCCAGAAUUAUUAGUAAUAUUAUAACUGUUUUUAGGAUAUUUUGAAGUUUUCUAAGGUUAAUUAAUUAGAACAAAUAUAGUAAACGAGCACUUUUUGUGUCGUGUUGUAAUUAGAUUUGAUUCAAUACACAUAUUUGGACAUCUACUAAUUUCAAAGGACUGUGUUACCACAAACGAUUCAAAAGCCUUUAAUCUACUAGGGAAAAUAAGAUAAAUAUACAAAUGAUUGUAAUCUAAUUUUGUAUUAAGUUGAUUUAAGGAGAGAAUUACUUUCAAUUAGAGGGAAUUGAGGAACAUAACAGAGUCAAUGACUAUGAAAAUAUCCCUGGUAUCUUUACUGUUGUUUUGUUUGUUAGUUCUUGUCUAUUGUGGUCAUUCCAGGUAGAAGGAAGCAUCUUCUUUCCCUAGCCCACCUGAGGAAGGAGAACUAAUCUGAGUAUAAUCAUGGAAGUGUGUAAAAUUUAGUUUAUAGAGAUUUUCAUUGGAACAUUGUUUAUGACAUAUUGACAAUAAUUUAAUGUCACUCAAUAGGGAAUUGAUUAAGUAAAUGAUGUAACAUUCAUAUGAAUAAUACUAUGAAUUGAUUAUAAUUACUUUUAGAAUUAUAUUUGUUGACCUAGAAGACAUUCAUGAUAUAUUGUUAAGCAAUAAAGAUGUUUAAAAGGGAAACAUCAUGUCAUAAAGUAUCAUAGCUUUGAAUAUUUAUGCAAUAUAUAAUCACUAUAUCCCUCUAUUUCUUUAUAUGUAUGUAUAUAUUUGUCUCCUAUAUAGAUAUCUGCAUCUAGAUAUAUAUGUGUAUAUUUUAUAUAGCCGCAUUUCUACAAGUAAGAUUUUUAAAAAUGCAGCAAAAUGUUAACAGGUUGAAAGAGUUUUUGGUGAUAUUUAUUCUCUUCUCUUGUUUUCAAUGGAAAUAUUGUAGCUUUUAAUCAGAAAAAAGGUUGACUGAGAUACAGUCUUAUAGAGGAUCUUAUAUUUCAGGUGAAUCUUGAAGGACAAUAGUGAUCUAAAUUGCUCAUAGUUACUAUCAGAGCGAUAUCUAUAAAUAUACCGACCAUUAAAUUAUUUUCUCUAUUAUCCUACAGUGGAAUUCAUCCUUUAGUUGCUAAAGUUUUCUGUGUUAUGGAGACAAUUCACUCUGUUUUAACAAAAGUUGACUAAUAGGAGAAAUAUCAGAGA
ensembl:lncRNA